rnacentral:misc_RNA from 1 species
UGAUCUGACAGGUUAUCACGUGAUCUCAUGACGUUUCAUGCACGCGAUCAUCCGACCGCCAGACAGUCAAGACGACUAAGUUGACCAACACCUUCUGAUAGACAUCACCCGGUGUUUCAGUAACAGACACGAUGACGAGGGAAAAGACUCACAUCAGCAUCGUUGUGAUCGGCCACGUGGACUCGGGGAAGUCAACAACUACUGGUCAUCUCAUCUACAAGUGUGGAGGAAUUGACAAAAGGACAAUUGAGAAGUUUGAGAAGGAAGCCCAAGAGGGCCAUAAUGGGCAAGACACGUGCUGAAAUUCAGCGUGCCUACAGAGAAA